CGGCAGCGCGGGAGCAAUCCUGGCGGCGAGUGGCGAACGGGUGAGUAAUACAUCGGAACGUGCCCAAUCGUGGGGGAUAACGCAGCGAAAGCUGUGCUAAUACCGCAUACGAUCUACGGAUGAAAGCAGGGGAUCGCAAGACCUUGCGCGAAUGGAGCGGCCGAUGGCAGAUUAGGUAGUUGGUGAGGUAAAGGCUCACCAAGCCUUCGAUCUGUAGCUGGUCUGAGAGGACGACCAGCCACACUGGGACUGAGACACGGCCCAGACUCCUACGGGAGGCAGCAGUGGGGAAUUUUGGACAAUGGGCGAAAGCCUGAUCCAGCCAUGCCGCGUGCAGGAUGAAGGCCUUCGGGUUGUAAACUGCUUUUGUACGGAACGAAACGGUCUUUUCUAAUACAGAAGGCUAAUGACGGUACCGUAAGAAUAAGCACCGGCUAACUACGUGCCAGCAGCCGCGGUAAUACGUAGGGUGCAAGCGUUAAUCGGAAUUACUGGGCGUAAAGCGUGCGCAGGCGGUUAUGUAAGACAGUUGUGAAAU
rnacentral:rRNA from 1 species